rnacentral:lncRNA from 1 species
AGAGCUUAUAUAUAUUUAUAUAUAUAAAUAUAUAUAUAUAUAUAUUUUUCCACAGAUAUUUCCUUAUUUUACAGAUAAGGAACGGAUGCUCAGACAGUUAGGUAACUUGCCUGAAGUGUGUGUGCUAACCUAUGCCAAAGCUAGGAUAAAUCAACUUCCUAUUGCUGCUCUAACAAAGGCCUCCAAAUUUAGUGGCUUAAAACAACACACUUUUUUUUUUGUACAGUAUAGUUAGAGGUCGUAUGUCUAAAGGCAGUCUCAGUGGGCUAAAGUCAGGGUCCGCAGGGCGGGUUAGGGUUGGGUCCCCUCUUCAGGAGGCUCUGGGGGACAACCUGUUUCCUGCCUGCCCCACUCUGCUCCUUCCUCGGUCGCGUCCGACCAGCAGGAAAACACCUUCCCCUCUGUCUGAACGCGGCUUCCACCAUCACAUCUCGUCUCUCGGACGCUCAGACCACCCUCUUACAAGGACCUUUGUGAUUCUAUCAAUCCAGGGUCAUGUCCCCAUCUCAAAUGCUUAAAUGAAUCACAUCUGCAAAGUCCCUUCUGCCUUAUAAACGUAUUCCCAGGCUGCAGGGACGGGGACGUGGACACCUUUGGCCUACUGUGUAGGACUUGGGGUCUUCUCUGAACCUGAGAUUUGUGGACCCCUGCUUCAUUCUUUUCCUGGUGCUGGGGAAGAAACCCAGGGCCUUGCCCACCUAGACAAGCUCUCAGCCACUGAGUUGGAUCUGACAUCAGCAGGGGCGGCUGGCACUGGCUGUAUCAGGAGAGAACCUGAGAGCAGGAGCCAACCAAGAUCCCGUCCAUCCUCCCACCUGUCCUGCCUUGUCAUUCCCUCUCCUCACGACGUGAGCCACAAAAUCAGAGAAACGAAGGAUAUUCAAGCAUCAUCUAAAACCGAGCAAGUCAACAAGUCCUCUGAGAUGAGGCGGGCCUGGAACCGAGACUUCCAGAACCCCUUCUCCUUCCCACAGUUCUUCACUAGAAUAUUAAUCGUCCCAUCUCCGUGAUCAGAGCUGGGCCGGCAUGGGGAGGAAGAUGUCCGGUAAAGACUGACGGAGGGAAAGAUUCUGGAAGGAAACUGCUCCCUUGCUCCUCCUCUCUGACUGAGCCCCCCAAUCCUCGUGGUGCUGAGCAUGUGGCGGACACCGGCUGAAUGAAUGAC